GAGAAGAGAAAAAGUUUCGACGUGUGUGCUUUAUGACAAUAAAUUUGAAAUCAAGGGUAAUAUAAUCAUUUCACCUAUUAGCUGAUAUUGUCGAACUUACGUGGCUUUUAUUUUUGUAGCCACUGCAUCAUUCCUCUUUUUUCUUUAUCGGUUCUCUUUUAGACACUUUGAGUUUGCUGGUUAAUUCCUCUUCCACAUUUGGGUCAAAUCUUGCUCUUUUUGUCUUUAUCUGUAUGUAUAAUGCUCUUUAAUCUGACAUUUAAAGUGUUUUUUUUGUUAAAUCUAAUUUGAAUUUUUGUGGUUAGAUAGUAAGUCAUGAGGGAGAAGAGUGUAGGCCAGAAAGGAAAGACAAUUGGAUGCUCUUCAUCGGAAAUAAAGGUUAACUUUCUCUCAUCUCUUUGUUUCUCCAUGUUUUGCAUCUCCCCUUCCUCUUUUUCGUCUCAAGUGUUGCGUUCGGCAGAAUUUUUUUGGGUUUAUGAAUGAUUGGGGAAUGCAUGUACCUCUAUUGAUUCAGAUUUAACUUGGUCGGAAUUUUUUAGUUUACUGCAUUACGCCAAUUUGCAUUUUCAUCCAAAAUAACCGGUUAGAAAAUUCCAAAUACCCAAACUCCAAUUUCAAAUUUUGAUGUAGCUUUAUAAUUUUCAGAAAAUAGAUGAAAGAUUUUGUACCUAGAUUUGGUUGCGAUUUCUAAAUAUGGAUAAUUUCCUCAAUAUUAGAUUCGGUUACAAUAGCUUUUAUUUUUGUUUUCUCUUGUGUAUGUUGAUUUUGUAGUAGUAAGUAACAACAGUUAACAUGUGCAAAACUUUCAACGCAAUAUUUGGUAGUCUGAUUGUAUAAAAUAUCUGCUCUCGACUUGAAUGAAUGGUGUUAAUAAAGAAAAAUUUAGAUAUGUAUGUUUAACCAAAAUAGGAAUUUCGGUCAAAACCUGUUUUUAGAAGAACUCGGGUUACUGAUAAUCAAAUAAAAAUAAGAAUAAUUGAUGUAAAUAAUAGCAUGAUAAAAAGCAAAGUAAAUCAGUGUAUUCCAAAAGUAUUUUGUGUCCUUACAAAUAUUCAUUCCUCACCUUUUAUAUCUAUUUCUAAGUAAUAUGUUUCUUUCCUUCCAUAAUGAAGUUAUUAUGGACAAUUAAUGACAUUUAAUGUAACGUUAUAAUUGGCAAUCGUAACUGUUCAGUACAGAUUCUAUAACGUUUCUUGUAAUUAAUGCUCAUUAACUACCGAUAAUACGUAUCUAUACUCUUUUGCUAUCUAGGUUCAUUCUUCCGAUGCUUCUUCAAAUUAUGAAGAGGUUCGAGCACCCAUUCCUUAUGAUUUUCUUGGAUCUUUGCCCGUAUCUGUUAAAGCUCAUGUCUCUUCAACUAUUCUUCACCAAUUGUCAUUCCUUUACUGAUCCACGUGUUAUGAUAUGUCAUCACAUAAUUAAUUUGAUAUAUUAACUUGAUUUUUCCAAAUACAGAUAGUCCCCCCACUUGCCAUUUAUUCAACAAUAGAAUAUUUGGGAAGUGGAUCUCAUUAAAGCGGGAAUUUUUGCCGCCAUUAUUCCUUCUCUGGAACUGACGCUUCAUAUGUCACUUUCAUUUAAUGCUUGUGACACAUGACAUCUUCUGAUUGGAUCUGCGACUCUUCAGCAUUUUUAGGGCUUUUUUGCGACUUCAUCAAUUACGAAGUGACAAUUUCCAUCAUGAUGUUUUUAUCAUUACACCUUUUUCUUUGACGGUUGCUUCUGAGUAUAAAUAUAGUUUUUGUCUUUGUCUUUCUCAUAAAAAGUUACUUAUCUUAGAAUAUUCAUUCUUGUUUUCUUCCUCAUACAGCUAUGUCUUCUUCUAACCCUAAUCCUCGAAGAGUCCCCAUUGUUGAUGAACUUUCUCUUGCUUCUGUUAGAAGUAGAAGAGGGGAAGAUUGCGUAGUUUAGGGUCUUCAUCUGUGCGAGGUGUUUCUUUACCUCCAGUGAAUUCUACCCCUCCUUCUAGAACUAGGGGUUCUCAUUCACAUAGAUCUUCUUCUAGAGGUAAAGAUUCUAGUGAACCAGUUCGUGAGCCUUUAGUAGAUGAAAUUGUCCCUUCUGAAAUAUCUUUUUACUCUGAUAGAGAAUCGAUUAGAAAUCAAGUUUCUUCUAUAUCUUCUUUGGAUCGUGCUGAUGUUUACCCUUCUCAAAUUACUGAAUGUUUAAUUUCUGUUGUCCGUAGGGAUUAGAAUUGGAGACAUGACUUCCCUAUCAUAAUUCCUAAUGCAAACCAAAGAAUUACAUCUUACAUGACCGAAUUUUCAUUUGUGUAUACAUAUCCCUUUACACUGAAUUUUAAACCCCACCAUUGAUCCUGUUAUCAUUGAGUUUUGUCAUUUUCUCAAUGUUUGUCUAGGACAGAUUGACCCCAUUGUAUGGAGGGAUGUUGCUUGUCUAAGGCACUUAACAAGAUUUGCUAAUUUGCCUUUUACUUUUUUCUAUUUGAUCCAUCUCUACUCCCCUAAGCUUUUCCGACAUGGGAUUUUUACUUUAGUAGCGAGAAGUAAGAGAGUUCUAAUUAGCCCUGAGAAUGACAAGGACCGUGGCUGGUAUGCCAGAUUUGUUGUUGCCCCUACUGUAGGCUUAGUAGGUAAAGAAAAUGUACCAUCCCCUGAAAAGUGGAAUUUUGCGCGUAAGUUUUACUUUUGCAGUUUUCUCUUCUUUUUUUUCUUUUCCAUUUUGAAAGGGUUUAUUUUCCCGCAGAUGUUUAACUUUCUCUUUUUUCAGAAACCUUGGGAACUAUUAAUGAGAUUCCCAAUUUCCGUGGUUGGGUAGAGAAGUUAUUGACUGUUGCUCCGAUGGAAGGUAGAUCUUGGAAAAGUCUUUCACAUAGGUUUGGUUGGAAGGUUAAAACUCAUGGUAAAUGCUUUAUCCACUUUCUUUCCAUAUUUUCGAUCUUCUUUACCUUAGAAUUUAUUUGACCCUUCUUUUUAUCAAGGUUCCCCAUACGUGGUGUAAGUGCUGAAGUAGUCGCGCCUUCCAGAGUUUCUUUGGAAAGAGCUCAAGAGAUAAUCUGGAGCUCUUCAUCGAAAAGGAAGGCUGAUGCAACCCAAGAUUUUGAGGAAGAAGAGGAACAGGAUGGAAGUUCCUUGGUUAAAAAGCCGCGGGCCAAAAGACGCGUCUUUUUAUAUGAUGAAGCAACUCCUCCCCAUUCCCCUAACCGAGCCUGUUGAAGCCAACUUGGUGAGUUCUGAUGAUGAUACUCCUGCGGCAGCUGGUGACUCAGAUGAACAGUUUUUUCCUCGUGGGUUUGAUAGUGAAAAUUUGGAUUUAGUUUCCGAUGAAGUACCCAUUGCCUCAUUUACCAUAUCUUUCCUUGUGGUGCAUUCUUUGCCAGUUGUUACUGCUACUGCUUCUGAUCCGCCCCAAGCUAUUAUGACUUCCUCCACAAUUCUUACUACUACCAUUCCUCGUACUGAGGUUGGUUCUUCAAGUGGAAGUAGAGCGAUAAAGCAUAUUACUAUUGAGAUCCCUUUCGAUGGUAAUAUUUUGAAAAAGUCAGGUCAGGCUAACGUAUGGUUGAAACCCUUGAUCAGUCCAGUCGAAAAGUCCAAGGUUGAGAGUCAUAGUUCUUUGACUUGGAUAAAUGAUAUAGUGCAAUCGUCACUGAAGGUAUUUGCUUCUGUUUACGCAUUAUUCCAUUCUUUUUUUAUUAAGGUUCUUACCCCUUUCUUCUUUUUUUAGAUCAAUCUUAUUGACACAGAGAUGAUGGAGAGUUUCUCUUACGGAGUAGUUAAUGCUUGAUUAUCAAAUUAAAGCAGACAAUUGGAAAGAGCAAUAUGAAAGUCUUCAACUUGAGAUGGAAGUUCUAGAAGAAAGCAAGUGUACCUUAGAGCAGCAGCUUAGAGUUAUGGCAUCGGAGCUAGCAGUUGAGAAAGCUUCUUCCAAUCAGGCUGGAAAGGAUAAAAAUCUCCUUGAGACAUCAUUUUUCGAGCAACUCUCCAAAGCCAGCGAAGAGAUUAGGGGAUUGAGGGUCUUGCUGAACGAAGAAGAAUUUUAUGCAGGUGAACUUGUUCAGACCCUCACCCAGACCCAAGAGGAUCUUUGUGUGUCUUCUGAUAAAGUCAGAUUUUGGAAAGUUCACUUGCCCCUUAGCAAUCUUCUUAUGAUGCUGCUUUGGCCGAGAAGGAAGAACUCAAAAAUGAGAUUGACCAAUGGGAAAGGGAUUAUGAAGCUCUUAAGGACAAAACUGCUAUUAAAGUGAGUUGGGCUAUUUUAAACACACGCCAUGAUACCCUAGUGGAGGCUAGCCAAGAGGGCUUUAAUUUGAAUGCUGAGUUAGCUAAAAUAAAGGAAACCAUUGAGAAAACUCAGCAAGACCAAAGUUUUCCUUCUCCCAUGGCUAAUACUCCCGAGUAUGUUGAAGCUAAUGUAGGUGCGGUGGAUGUCCCAGCUCUUUCAGAUCAAAUCGAGCCUUCUGUUGCUGAUGCUGCUGCUUUAGACUCUUCUUCUACUCCCCAGUAAAAGUUUAUGAAGUUUGAAUCCUUUUUCUUUCUUGGUGGAAUUUGUAGUUUUACCCCUGGUCCCAUUUGGGGGUUAAGUUUUUGGUAGUGACAAGUCCCCAGACCUUUUCGGGGCAUUUUGUAAAAAAUGACAAUAAGUUUUAUGACUAAGUUCAUACUUAGUCUAAACGUAAUAUUAUAAGGUUUUCGUUUUUACUUAAUAUCUUGAGUUUCUGUUUUACUCUUUUUGCCUUGUUUCAUUAUAUAAAUUCAAGGUCUUGCUUUUUAAUUCAUGGGUUUUGUCUUACCCUUUUUGCAUUUUUUUAAAAAAAAUGCUUUGUUAACUUCAUGGAUCUUUGAAUCAAACAUGAAAUUAUAAAAGAGUGCCCUUUUAUAUACGACACUUAAUGAAGAAGACGUCUUAACUUCAUAAUGGUGUAAAUAUACGAAAAAAAAGUAGGAACACACAUGUUUCUUGAAAUAACUUUGAUAAAGUUUUCAUUUGAACUUUGUCAAGUUUAAAUAACAUCUUAUAUGUAUUUAAAUAUCUUCUAUUACUUUUCCGUAACUAUUUUCUUUACAACAGAUUUGCAAAAAGGAAAGAAAAUCCAAGGGUUUUUUAUAACUCAUGGCUAAAUAUUGCCUUUAACUUAGACAUCAUAAGAUUUUGAAAUCUAUAUGGAGGUUUUUUGAUUGGCUUGUGUUAUUGGCUCGUGACUUUGCUCUGAACUUGAUAUACUUGAUGAGUAAACUUUUGGGCUUGACUUGAACUUUAAUUAUUUUCAGUCCUCUUUGCCUUCUUUAUACAUAUAUCAUAUGUAUAUUAUAUAGUCCCCCAAGUGUUUGAGAUUUGGAGUAUGAAAUCUCGAGCACUUGAUUAUUCCUUCCAUCCGGUCCUUUUCCUGGAAAAAAAAAACAUACGGGACUCGGAGGUAUGAUUUUAGAUGAAGACUGCUUAACCCGUUUAAAUUUCCAUCAGAAUGGUUGUAACCCUAGACCGGGAAUUAUGUUCUUUCCACGUGUCUUUUCAGGUCGUAAUUCAUCAUUUAGUGCGGGCUAGCUUUUUGCCUGCCCGUAGAUAUUUAUUUUCCUUAGAAAUAGUAUCUCUUCAGAUGAACAACAUUCCAAUUUGAAGGUAGAAUCUUUCCAUCCAAUGUUUCAAGUUCGUAUGCUCCUUUUUCCUGCGAUACCAUGAAUCUUAUAAGGUCCUUCCCAAGUUGGACUUAACUUUCCUGCAUUAGCUGCCCUCGUGGAUUGGAAAACCUUCUUGAGUACGAAGUCCCCAAUCUUGAAGUAUCUUAGACGAGCUUUCUGGUUAUAGUAUUGCUCCAUAACUUGUUUUUGUGUUGCCAUCCUUAUUAAUGCAGCUUUCCUCAUUUCUUCAAGUAAAUCCAAGUUUACUCGCAUCUCUUCUUCAUUUGAUUCCUCAUUAGCUUGUGCAUAUCUCGUACUUGGUUCCCCUAUCUCGACUGGAAUUAAGGCUUCAGCUCUGUAUACAAUGAGAACGGCGUUUCCCUCGUACUUAUUUUUGCGGUUGUUCGAUAAGCCCACAAGACCCCAGGUAACACCUCUGGCCAAUUGCCUUUAGAUUCCUCUAAUCUUUUCUUCAAGUUGUUGAUAUGACUUUAUUUGUUGAUUCAGCAUGUCCAUUAGCCACCGAAUGGUAAGGCGUUGAAGUAAUCCUUUUAAUUUGCCAACUUUGAAAAAAUUCUGUGAUUUGCGUGCCUAUAAAUUGCGGGCCAUUAUCACAUAUGAUUUCCUUUGGUACCCCGAAUCGGCAUAUGACGUUUCGCCAAAUGAAAUCUCUGACCUCUUUUUCUCGUACCUUGCCUUUAGCUUGCGGUAGUGGUCCCAUGAUAUCCAUCUCCCAUUUCAUAAAAGGUCACGGUGUAAUGACCGGAUGUAAUAAUUCAGCAGGUCGAUGCAUGUUGUUACCGUAUCUUUGGCACUUGUCAUAUUUAGCCAUAAAUGUUUCCGCGUCUUCUUCCAUUUUUGUCCAGUAAUAGCCGACUCUAAUCAUGGUUUUCACUAAAGAUUUUCCUCCCGCGUGAUUUCCACAGUGUCCCUCGUGUAUUUCUCUCAUCACAUACUCUGUUUGAGAAGGGUCGAGGCAUCUUGCUAGAGGGCCACUGAACAUUUUACGAUAGAGACUUUUUUUCUUUAAACAGUAUCGAGCAGCUUUUUUGCGAAGUGCUUGAGCCUUUUUCUUAUCUUCAGGUAAAAUUUCAUACUGCAAAAAAUUGACAAUCUCGUUCCUCCAAUCCCAAGUUAGAUUAUUGAAAGUUACCUCAUUUUUGUCGUGAUCAAGUACGGAGUGAAAUAAAUGAAUCACAUAAGCAUUUUCGUCAUUCGUUACUUCUGCAGCAGAUGCAAGAUUAGCUAAGGCGCCAGCCUCUGCAUUUUCCUCUCUUGGUAUCUACACGACUUUCCAAGUUUGAAAUUGCUUGACCAAAUCUCGUGCCUUUUACAGGUAUUGUUGCAUCCUUGCCUCUCUGGCUGUAUAAGUCCCCAGCAUUUGGUUAACUACGAGCUGUGAAUCGCUUUUGAUUACGACCUGUUCUAUACCAAGCUCUCGUGCUAGUUCUAAACCUAUAAUUACAACUUCAUAUUCUGCCUCAUUGUUAGUAAUAAGGUGACAUUUUAUGGCUUGUCGUAUGGUUUCUCCCGUGGGUGGUACCAAAAUAAUACCUAAACCUGCCCCUUUCACAUUCGAUGAACCAUCGGUAAAUAAGGUCUAAGUUCCUGGAUUAGACCCUUUAAAUACCUGCAGUUCUUUUUCUGCUUCUAGUUGUAUUCCUUGACUAAAAUCUGCAACAAAAUCUGCUAAAACAUGUGACUUUAUUGCAGUUCUAGAUUGAUAUGUAAUGUCAUAUUCACUUAGUUCUAUGGCCCACUUGGCUAAUCUCCCUUAUAAUCUUGUUUAUGCAAUAUAUUACGCAAGGGGUAGACGGUUACUACAGAGAUGGGAUGAAUUUGAAAAUAAGGUCUUAACUUCUUAGAUGCCAUAAUUAACGCAAGUGCAAGUUUUUCUAGAUGAGGGUACCGAGUUUCAGCAUCUAAUAAUGACUUGCUAACAUAAUAAAUCGGAGACUGCUUACCUUUGUCUUCUCGAACUAACACAGCACUUAUCACUACUUCUGAAACAGCAAGGUAGAUGAGUAGUUUCUCCCCAUCUUUCGGUUUUGCAAGCAACGGUGGAUUUGACAAAUAUACUUUCAAUUUUUUAAGCGCUUGUUGACAUUUUUCAGACCAUUCAAAUUGAUCCUACUUUUUUAGGGCUGAAAAGAACCUGAAGCAUUUUUCUGAUGAUUUUGAAAUAAAUCUUCCCAAAGCUGUUAUUCUUCUUGUCAGUCUCUGUACUUCUUUUUUACUUAUCAGUGUAUCAGGAAUUUCCUCAACAGCUUUAAUCUAUCGGGAUUUACCUCAAUUCCACGGUUAGAAACAAGAAAUCCCAAGAACUUACCUGACGAAACUUCAAAUGCACAUUUCUCAAGGUUUAAUUUCAUGUUAAAUUUACGAAGAAUCUGAAAUGUAUCAGACAAGUGUUGGAUAUGGUCCCCUGCUUGUUGUGACUUGACCAGCAUAUCAUCUAUAUAGACCUCCAUGGUUUUCCCUAGAUGUUCUUGAAACAUUUGGUCACCAACCUUUGAUAUGUGGCUCCAACAUUCUUGAAACCGAAUGACAUUACUUUGUAACAGUAAGUCCCUCUGUCUGUUAUAAAUGAAUUUUUUCCUCAUCUAUAGGAUCCAUUUUUAUCUGAUUAUACCCUGAAUAUGCAUUUAAAAAACUUAACAAUUCAUGUCCUGCAGUAGCAUCAUUUAGUUGAUCUAUAUGCAGUAAUGGAAAAGAAUCUUUAGGACUUAAGUCAGUAUAAUCCACAUAAACUCUCCACUUACUAUUAUUUUUAGGUACUACUAUAGUAUUAGCUAACCAAUUUGGAUAUUUUACCUCGCGGAUGGACCCAAUUUUUAAAAGUUUUUGUACUUUAUCUUUAAUCACUUGAUUUUUGAAAGAUCCUUGCUUUCUUUUCUUUUGUUUGACAGGUAGGUAUGAUGGAUCUUCAUUUAACUUGUGGGUCAUCACUUCUGGAGGUAUUCCUGUCAUAUCAGAAUGGGACCAGGCAAAACAAUCCACGUUAGUUUUCAAAAAUUCAGUCAACUUACGUUUUAUUUCUUGGAUUAGGUUAGCCCCAAUGUAGACUUUCCUUUCAGACCAGGGUGCAAAUAAUACUACAUCUUCCAAUUCCUCAAUCGUUGUUUUGAUGUUUUCAUUUUUCUUUGGCUCUUGGAUGGUAUCAGGCCUCGAGUCUACAUCUGUUUGCCCGUUCUCAGUUGAGGCUUGUGUUGCAGCACCCUCAACUAGAUUCUGUGAUUACUAUUUCUCUUCGUUUUUUAAGCUAGAAUAUGCUACGGAAUUAAUGCUCCUAGACGCUUGCUAGUCACCACGAAUUUUUCGUAUUUCCCAUUGUGAAGGAAAUUUAAUAACUUGAUGCAAUGUUGAUGGAACAGCUUCCAUUUCAUGAAUCCAUGGUCUACCAAGAAUCAUGUUAUAAGCCAUAUCCAUUUCUACCACUUGAAAUUUGGUGUCUUUGACUACUCCUUCAGUGAAUGUGGUGAGUGUUAUCUCGCCUUUUAUUACAACACUCGAGUUGUCAAAACUGGACAAUGUAUGAGCCUUUGGUAUCAACUUAUCAUCAGCUUGCAUCUCAUUUACCACUCUUAACAGAAUGAUAUUUACAGAACUACCUGGAUCAACCAAAACGCAUUUCAUGUUAGUGUCAUGUACAAAUAAAGAUAUUACCAGUGCAUCAUUAUGUGGGGUUAGCACGCCAUCCGCGUCUGCAUCAUCAAAAAUAGUAUUAUCUUCUUCCAAAAUUUGCCGAACUCGCUUCCCAUGUGUAACCAUUAUUUUUGACACCUUCCUCAUUGCUGUUACGCCAUAGAUCUCCUCUCCUCCACUUAUGACAUUAACCAUCCUUUUUGGUGAAAGGGGUUUUGGAGGCUCCUGUCUAUUUUUCAUAUAUGUCUGCUUUCCCUUUUCACUAAAUAAUUCAGUUAAAUACCCUUGUUUCAAUAAAUGUUCUACUUCACCUUGCAGUAAUCUACAAUAUGCCGUUUUGUGGCUGUGAUCGUGGUGAAACUCGCACAAAAAAUCAGGAUUACGCCUGUUCGAAUUUGAUCUCAUCUCUCUUGGCCAUCGUACCUUGUCUCCUAUAUUCCUUAAAACAGCCACCAAUUCGGAUGUGCUAACAUUAAAACUGUAACUGACGAUCUUUGCUUUCGUGCUUCUAUCAAUAUCACGCAUUUCUCGUGUAUUUUAUUCUUUUCCGAACCUUGAUGAUGAACCUGAUUCCCUAUCUCUUGAUCUAUGAUCGUACCUUGGGUUUUCCUAUUUUGAACGUGAGUCUCUUCCCGCUGGUCCCAUGUAAGACUCGUACCUAUUUUUACCGGAACUUUUUUAAGUUUCAGUUCGCCUUGAACUUACCUUUUUAUCCCUUCGGGAUUGAAUGAUGGUAUUUUCUUCUAUCCGCAGUUUUGUGCUAUAUCUGUUGUAAACAUAAGUCCAAGUUGUAGCUGGAAAUUAUCGUAAACUUUCCUUGAGACUCCUUGUGGCUUCUGAACUUUUUUCAUUUUGAUUGCUGGCAAACGCUAUAGCUGCACAGUUAUCUAGUACACGUGGCAACGUCAUCCUUUCACGCUGGAACCUGUUUACGAAUUCCCUGAGUAGCUUCGUAUCUCCUUGCUUUAUUUUGAAAAUGUCCUCCAUUCUUUUCUCAACUUUUUGAGCUCCCGAGUGUGCUUUGAUGAAUGAAUCUACAAGUUCAACAAAAGAAUCUAUAGAAUUUUCGGGUAAAAGAGAAUACCAUGUUAAUGCUCCCUUAGUGAGUGUUUCUCCGAAUAUUUUGACCAAUACUGAUUCAAUUUCUUGCUUGGUCAAGUUGUUGCCUUUUACGUCGGUUGUGAAUACAGUCACGUGAUCUUGUGGAUCAGUUGUUCCAUCGUAUUUUGGAAUAUCGGGCAUCUUGAAUUUCUUCGGAAUUGGUAGAGGAGCUUCACUUGGCUUCCAAGGUUGUUGUGAGUAUUUGUCCAUAUCUAUUCCCUUGAUUACAGGCGGUACUCCAGAUAUUUGCUCUAUGCGGUCGCUCUGCUCCUUGAGCUGUUUCUGCAAUGUUAGUACUAAAUUUUGUAAAUCAGAAUUGAUUGGGUUACGUGACCCUCCAUCACGAGAUUUGCUAGGAGUUCCUCAAUGCCCGAAUUAACGAGUCCUGGGCGAGGAUUUUCUAAACUGUUGUUGUUUGGAGUUGAUGUUGGCGAUGCAGCUGGCAACUGGUUAGCAAAAGCCUCAAGAGCAUUGCUAACCUGUUGAGCAAUUAACCUUUUCAAAGCUUCAUUAAUAGCCUCAUUAUUUUCAAACUGAUCGUUCGCAUUUGAUUAAUAUCCAUCAGGAGUUCCUUCUCGAGAUUGUCGAGGAGAAUUUCGUGGGGAAGAGACCGGGGUUCCAUCGCCUUGCUGAUUCUCCUGGAAUUGACGGUCUCCUUGAUUGUUGUCAUUGACAUUUGACAUGAUUGUUUUGACAAAAAAGGUCAAUUUAUAAAGUAAUAGAUUAUCAUAUUCCUGAUAACGGAACCAAUUUAUUUAACCAAAAAUAGGAAUUUCGGUCAAAGCCUGUUUUUAGAAGAACUCGAGUUACUGAUAAUCAAAUAGAAAUAAGAAUAAUUGAUGUAAAUAAUAGCAUGAUAAAAAGCAAAGUAAAUCAGUGUAUUCCAAUAGUAUUUCGUGCCCUUACAGAUGUUCAUUCCUCACCUUUUAUAGCUAUUUCUAAGUAAUAUGUUUCUUUCCUUCCAUAAUAGAGUUAUUAUGGACAAUUAAUGACAUUUAAUGUAACGUUAUAAUUGGCAAUCGUAACUGUUCAGUACAGAUUCUAUAAUAUUUCCUGUAAUUAAUGCUCAUUGACUAUAGAUAAUACGUAUCUAAACUUCUUUGCUAUCUAGGUUCAUUCUUCUGAUGCUUCUUCAAAUUAUGAAGAGGUUCGAGCACCCAUUCCUUCUGAUUUUCUUGGAUCUUUGCCCGUGUCUGUUAAAGCUCAUAUCUCUUCAACUAUUCUUCGCCAACUGUCAUUCCUUUACUGAUCCACGUGUUAUGACAUGUCAUCACAUAAUUAAUUCAAUAUAUUAACUUGAUUUUUCCCAAUACAAUGUGGGAAAUGUUGUCUUUAGAGCCAUGUCAUUGCUUCGUUGUCUGAUGUUUAUGAUAAGGAAUAGAUGUCCUCUGAGUUAUAUACUGUUGCUUUUCCAGUCUUCUAUUAGGUAUUUAUAGAAGAUCAAUUUCAUUCUUAUGAGUAAGUUUUCAUAUUUUAUAUGAAUUUUUGUGGCAUUAAACUUAUAAGUCAUAUGAUUUUAAGGUAAAGCUCCAUUAUUUAUUGCUUCUACCGUAUUAGUGAAGGUUGUGUUCUCACAUUUUGUUAAUGAAGUUUUGUGAGAUUUUAUGUAUCUGGUAUCUCUAUUUAAUGACCAUAUAUCCUUUUUCCUUUCUUUCGAGAUAUUUUUAAUAUUGACAUGAUAACAGUUUUUCUACAAAUUUUUCACAAGUAAGAGUUGGUAUUGCAGGUUUAAGAAAGCCAUUUUGCUGCGGAAUUUUUAUCAAAUAACAGAAAUGACAUUCAUGAGAAAUUGAUAUCAGGUAAGAAAGGGAUAAACAAUGUUGGCUAUUAUUAUUAUAUUUAGACAGGGUUCAAUGACUAUCAGAACUCUUAUCUUUUGCUUAGUAAGUGUUUACAAGGCUUUUUAUUCUAUGAAAUGUAUAUUUUCUUACUUCAAACUCCAAUGAUACUUGUUCGAAAUUUUUUAACUAAAACAGAACUCCAUAUUAGUUUUGUGUUUGGGAGAAGCAUGAUUUAAGAAGUAUAGACAAAAAUAGUUGUGUGGUUCCAUAUGAUAAUAGGAAAUAAGAUGCACAACUGGUGCUUUUAAAUCCAUAAACUUCCCUGUACUCUAAAUCUAACAUUACUUUUUCUAGAAGUCAAGUUAAGAAGACUAAGGUUGUUGCAGAUCGAUUGAAGUGGGAGUUUUGACAUGUCUCUUCUUUGUUACGGAGUUUGACAUGUCUGUUCUUUGUCUUCAAAAUUUAAGUUGAGGAUAUUAUUCUAGAAACCGUCUCUAGAGUCUAGAUCUACGAUUUCUUCAUUUUCUCCUUGCAUUAAUUUCUUUAAAAUUUAUGUUGAGGACACUAUUAUAAAAUACACGAGACUAAUUCACAUUUUGAAUAUCCAGCAAUACCUAAAUAAAAAUCUCAACUUUUCAUGUCUGAAUGUACAAUAAUUUACAUACUAACUCCUACUGAGUUAAAUCAUGUGAGUUUGCAAGUUAUUCCUUGCUUUACUAAAGUUAUUAGUAUAUCUAGCAUCAGUUUUUCAUUUAGUUGAUAUAAGAAGUUGUAGCUGAAACCUCUUUUGCAAACUUUACACACAGUACGAAGCUCGAGUAUUAGUGUUAUUGGAGGUACUUGUAGUUUGUGACUAUCUGGAAGUUGUAUGCUUGAAUCCUAGGUGAUCUUCCUUACAAAGAGUACAUCUUGUGUAACGAUCCGGCCGGUCGUUUCAUGAGUUAUAGCCCCAUUUUUUCCAUUUCUUCUUUUUUAUGUGUUAUUCGGCUAUAUUGUGGUAUCGGGUUGGUUGGUUCGGGUUCGGAGUGAUUUUGGAGAGGAAUGAGACACUUAGUCUCAUAUUUUGAAGUUAAGCUGAAAAAGUCAACUGGAUGUUGCCUUAUGAGUAAAUGAUCUCGGAUGUGUAUUCUGAUGGAUCGGUUAGCUCUGUUAGGUGAUUUUGGACGUAGGAGCAUGUUCGAAAUAUAAUUUGGAGGUCUGUGGUAGAUUUAGGCUUGAAUUGACAAAAUUGGAAAUUUGGCGUUUCUCAGUCGGUAGUGAAAAUUUUGAUAUUGGGGUUGGAAUGAAAUUCUGGAAAUUGGAGUAGGUCCGUGGUGUCAUUUGUGACAUGUGUGUAAAAUUUCAAGUCAUUUAGACGAGAUUUGAUAGGUUUUGGCAUCGUUUGCGGAAUUCGAAAGUUUAGAAGUUCUUAGGCUUGAAUCCGAGGGUGAUUUGGUGUUUUGAUGUUGUUUAGAGUGUUCUGAAGGUUUGAAUAGUUGUAUAUGACUUGUUGGUAUUUUUGGUUAAGGUCUUGCGGGCCUCGGGAUGAAUUCGAAUGUUAACGGAAGGGUUGGAAAUUGGUUUGAGCAGCUGAAGUUGCUGCUUCUGUCAUUUCCGCACCUGUGGAUUGGGGACCACAGGUGCGAGGUCCGCAAAAGCGAAAUUGGACCGCGUAAGUAGAAAAGGACCGCAGGAGCGGAAGUUGGACCACAUCUGCAAGCCUGCAGGUGCGAGGCCUGGGGCGCAAGUGCAGAAGCUGGAAAUUUAACUGAAAUGCACAGAUGCGGCAUUUGGACCGCAGGUGCGUGAAUUUGGUUACAGAUGCGGAAGUACUGGGCAGAAUGUAUAAAAAGGCCCAUUCGCGAAUUUUGGUCAUUCUUCACCAUUUUUCAUCCAGAUUUUGAGCUUUUGGGAGCAAUUUGAAGAGGGAUUCAAGGGGGUUUUCACUGAUAUGAGUAAUCUGAGACCUAAUACUCGUGAUUAUGGUAGUUUUCUGAGGUUUAAUCAUGUAAUUAGUGGUGAUUAAGGGUGAAAUGAGGGGUUAGGGGUUUGGAUUUUGGAGAGUUUUGAUUGAGGAUUUGAUGGGUCAAAUGGAGUCGGAUUUUGACAAAUCUUGUAUGUAUGGAUUUGUGAGUGGAAGGAGUUUUUAGUUUUGCUAUUUUUGUCGGAUUCCAAGACAUGGGCUUGGGGGCUGGGUUUGGGUGAAUUUCGGGAUGUUUGGAGGCCGAUUCCAGAGGCAAAGGCAUAGAUGAGUAGGAUUUGGCUUAGUUUGAGGUAAGUAACGCUUCCAAACUUGGUUCUGAGGGUUUGAAACCCCGAACUAUGUGGUAUAUAAUUAAAUGUUAAGGUGACGCAAAUGCCAAGUGAUGGGUGUAUGGGCGUGCACCAUGAGAAUUGUGGCCUAGUUCAUUCCAUGGCAUCGCGUAGUGACUAUUUCUUGUUGAUAUCUGUGUUAUGAUUAUGUUAUUAAGUUAAUGAGUUAUAAAUCAUGCUAAUUAUCAUGUUAGGGCUUCACGCUAAUACUAUUGAGAACCGAGUGGUUGUUUCUUGUUGUCAUCUCAUUAGUUUCACUGGUAUUCUGUACCCAGUCUUGUUAAUGCAUAUCAUAUCAUGUCUCAGUCUCGGUUGUAGUUAUUUGGCACAUCAUAUCAUUGUACGGGCUAGUUUCAUGGCACUGUGAGCCCAUGUGUGUGAGACUAGAGAGUGAUGAUUGAGUAAGGUCGAGAGACUGAUUAUGAGUGACAGUUAUGAGAUACGGGCUGCACGCCACAACAUAUUAUUGAUUAUGCCUUCAUUGGCUUGUUAUAGUGCUUGGGUUGAAAGAAGCCCCUCCGGAGUCUACACACCCCCAGUGAGCGUGGAUGAUAUUAUUGAGGGAUGGAUUUCCCUGGAUAUGGAUUUGCCCGAAGUAUUAAUAUAUGGAGAUGGAUUUCUCCACAUGGAUGGAUUUCCCUGGGCCAAUGGCCAUAUGCGGUACCGAGUGGUUGAGUGUGUAUAUAUAUGUAUACCUGGAGAUAGAUUUCUCCUCAGGUUGGAUUACCCUUGUUCCUCGGUACUAGAUGACUUGUAGUCAACGUUGUAUAUAUUUCGGGAUGGAUUUCCCUGGACCGGAUGGCCAUAUGCAGUAUUGAGUGAUUGAGCACUUGAGAGUAGGAGCACACGGUGUAUUUUCAUACAUUUCUGGCAUUGGCGUGUAGAGAUCUGCUGAGCUUUAUACUUCAUAUUGUUCGGAUUGGUAUUUUGUUUUACUGUUGAGUUGAAUAAUUGAAUUGCCAGCAUGCCUACUUUAUUGUACAAUUUAAAUGUGUUAUAAUUGCUGAGGUUUAGUUCGUCACUACCUAUCAGUCCAUAGUUUGGACUUGUUACUUACUGAGUUGGUGUACUCACGUUACCUCCUGCACCUUGUGUGCAAAUUCAGGUAUCUUAGGUUAUGGCAGCGGUUGUUUACUAUUCCAGUCGCGGAUUAUCACUGGAGAUAGUGAGGUAGCUGCCUGGCGAUCGCAGUCCCGCCUUUCUCCUUCUUUGUCUUCCUUCUAGUAUACUUUGGCUACUUUCAGACUAUUUUGGUCUUGUUAUGUUUCGGAACAAUUGUAGUAUUGCUCAUGACUUAGUGACACCCGAGGUCAGGCUUUUAUUUCCGCAUUUUGGUUUUUGAUUUUAUAUCUUUUUAUGGAAUUCAGUUGAAAAAAGUUGUUAUUUAAGUUUUAAAUGAAAUGUUGAACUACUUUGGAAAUGUGUCGGCCGGCCUAGUUUCAUGAUAGGCGUCAUCACGACCGGAUUGAUUUUGGGGUCGUGACAUCUUGGUAGUUGAUUGAGAAAAAUAUGUGGUGUUCAAGGUGAUUAAGCGGGGUCUUCAGUUAACUAUCAUCAUGAAAGAAUUACUGGCAUUUACUUAGUAAUGAUUUACGAUGGUGAUAAGGUAAUAUUCCUUUUUUAUGUAUUUGAUUAAUGUCUCAUGCAUGGAUCACACUUGUGCUGAUUGGUCUGAAUACCCUCGAAGAGAAGUGGAAUUCAUUCAUAUGUCAUUUAAAAGUAGCUUACUGCUUUUCUUUGGGCUCGAUAAGUUUCUUUAUUCUUAGGUUGGUAUCACGUCUCUUGUGCUAAAUAGAUGCAAGAAAGAAAAGUGUGUUUUAUUUUUUCUUUCAGUUGGUAAUUCUGUUAUAUCUUCCAUGUGUUUCCAGUCACGAGUGUAAAGUUGUUUGCUCAAAGUUGAAGCAGCAAUGAGGAUAAGAGAACUUUGGAAAAAUUAAAAAGUGUCUCCUCUAAUCCUAUAUGUUUCUGGAUGGAUUUGGAGGAAUAUAUGACCUGCCUCAAAUUAUAGCCGACCGAUCUUGCUCUUGUUUGGAAUUUGAGUAGGAGUUGUUAUUCCAUAAAUUAUACAAGUGUGCUAGCUUUCUGGUAAAAGAAGUUAGAGCUGAUGAAUAAAUUUAUUUAUCCAGUAAGGUUUAUUGUAUUGUAAAACGGCAUUGCAGAAAAGCAUGACCUUGUGUAAUUUUAUAUGCAAGUAUUUCUACUUAUUAUAAAAAUAGUUUGUUGCCGUCUCU
rnacentral:lncRNA from 1 species